rnacentral:rRNA from 1 species
GAGUUUUGAUCCUGGCUCAGGAUGAACGCUAGCGGCAGGCCUAAUACAUGCAAGUCGAGGGGGCAGCAGGGUAGCAAUAUCGCUGGCGACCGGCGCACGGGUGCGUAACACGUAUACAAUCUGCCUUUAACGGGGGGAUAGCCCGGAGAAAUCCGGAUUAAUACCCCAUAACACGAGAAACGGCAUCGUUUUUUGUUAAAAGCUCCGGCGGUUAGAGAUGAGUAUGCGUCUGAUUAGCUAGUUGGUGAGGUAACGGCUCACCAAGGCGACGAUCAGUAGGGGGAUCUGAGAGGGAUU